rnacentral:rRNA from 1 species
UACGGAGGGUGCAAGCGUUAAUCGGAAUUACUGGGCGUAAAGCGCACGUAGGUGGUUUGUUAAGUCGGGUGUGAAAUCCCUGGGCUCAACCUGGGAAUUGCAUUCGAUACUGGCGGGCUAGAGUACGGUAGAGGGAGGUAGAAUUCCUAGUGUAGCGGUGAAAUGCGUAGAUAUUAGGAGGAAUACCGGUGGCGAAGGCGGCCUCCUGGACUGAUACUGACACUGAGGUGCGAAAGCGUGGGGAGCAAACAGG